rnacentral:rRNA from 1 species
GAGUUUGAUUAUGGCUCAGGAUGAACGCUAGCGGGAGGCCUAACACAUGCAAGCCGAGCGGGAUUUGUUGGUUAGCUUGCUAACUAACAAUGAGAGCGGCGUACGGGUGCGUAACACGUGUGCAACCUGCCUUUAUCUGGGGGAUAGCCUUUCGAAAGGAAGAUUAAUACCCCAUAAUAUAUUGAUUGGCAUCAAUUAAUAUUGAAAGCUCCGGCGGAUAGAGAUGGGCACGCGUAAGAUUAGCUAGUUGGUGAGGUAACGGCUCACCAAGGCUGCGAUCUUUAGGGGGCCUGAGAGGGUGAUCCCCCACACUGGUACUGAGACACGGACCAGACUCCUACGGGAGGCAGCAGUGAGGAAUAUUGGACAAUGGGUGAGAGCCUGAUCCAGCCAUCCCGCGUGAAGGACUAAGGACCUAUGGUUUGUAAACUUCUUUUAUACAGGGAUAAACCUACUCUCGUGAG